GACGAACGCUGGCGGCGUGCUUAACACAUGCAAGUCGAACGGAGUGGCGAACGGGUGAGUAACACGUGGGUGACCUGCCUUGCACUUCGGGAUAAGCUUGGGAAACUGGGUCUAAUACCGGAUAGUGCAAGAUGAGCUCGCGGCCUAUGAGCUUGUUGGGGGGGUAAUGGCCUACCAAGGCGUCGACGGGUAGCCGGCCUGGGAGGGUGUACGGCCACAUUAGGCCUAAGGUACGGCGCAGAGUCGUACGGGAGGCAGCAGAGGGAAAUAUUGCAGAAUGGGCGGACGCCUGAUGCAGCGACGCCGCGUGGGUGAUGAAGGCCUUCGGGUUGUAAACUCCUUUCGACAGGGACGCGGUACCUGUAUAAGAAGCACCGGCUAACUACGUGCCAGCAGCUGCGGUAAUUC
rnacentral:rRNA from 1 species